rnacentral:rRNA from 1 species
AGAGUUUGAUCAUGGCUCAGGACGAACGCUGGCGGCGCGCCUAACACAUGCAAGUCGAACGAGCGAGAGAGAGCUUGCUUUCUCGAGCGAGUGGCGAACGGGUGAGUAACGCGUGAGGAACCUGCCUCAAAGAGGGGGACAACAGUUGGAAACGACUGCUAAUACCGCAUAAGCCCACGGGUCGGCAUCGACCAGAGGGAAAAGGAGCAAUCCGCUUUGAGAUGGCCUCGCGUCCGAUUAGCUAGUUGGUGAGGUAAUGGCCCACCAAGGCGACGAUCGGUAGCCGGACUGAGAGGUUGAACGGCCACAUUGGGACUGAGACACGGCCCAGACUCCUACGGGAGGCAGCAGUGGGGAAUAUUGCACAAUGGGGGAAACCCUGAUGCAGCGACGCCGCGUGGAGGAAGAAGGUCUUCGGAUUGUAAACUCCUGU